ACAUGCAGUCGAGCGAACAGACGAGGAGCUUGCUCCUCUGACGUUAGCGGCGGACGGGUGAGUAACACGUGGAUAACCUACCUAUAAGACUGGGAUAACUUCGGGAAACCGGAGCUAAUACCGGAUAAUAUAUUGAACCGCAUGGUUCAAUAGUGAAAGACGGUUUUGCUGUCACUUAUAGAUGGAUCCGCGCCGCAUUAGCUAGUUGGUAAGGUAACGGCUUACCAAGGCAACGAUGCGUAGCCGACCUGAGAGGGUGAUCGGCCACACUGGAACUGAGACACGGUCCAGACUCCUACGGGAGGCAGCAGUAGGGAAUCUUCCGCAAUGGGCGAAAGCCUGACGGAGCAACGCCGCGUGAGUGAUGAAGGUCUUCGGAUCGUAAAACUCUGUUAUUAGGGAAGAACAAAUGUGUAAGUAACUAUGCACGUCUUGACGGUACCUAAUCAGAAAGCCACGGCUAACUACGUGCCAGCAGCCGCGGUAAUACGUAGGUGGCAAGCGUUAUCCGGAAUUAUUGGGCGUAAAGCGCGCGUAGGCGGUUUUUUAAGUCUGAUGUGAAAGCCCACGGCUCAACCGUGGAGGGUCAUUGGAAACUGGAAAACUUGAGUGCAGAAGAGGAAAGUGGAAUUCCAUGUGUAGCGGUGAAAUGCGCAGAGAUAUGGAGGAACACCAGUGGCGAACGCGACUUUCUGGUCUGUAACUGACGCUGAUGUGCGAAAGCGUGGGGAUCAAACAGGAUUAGAUACCCUGGUAGUCCACGCCGUAACGAUGAGUGCUAAGUGUUAGGGGGUUCCGCCCCUUAGUGCUGCAGCUAACGCAUUAAGCACUCCGCCUGGGGGAGUACGGAGCGGCAAGGGUGGAAACUCAAAGGAGUU
rnacentral:rRNA from 1 species